GGGGAUGUAAAGGUUUCGACAGGGGUGCGUGUGGUAUAGAUAGCGAGUCGGCGUUCCAUGAGGCCGUUAAACGACGUCCCUCAUACUUGUGCCUACCAAGUGUGAAUGGACGUCAAACAGUAGGCUGGUCUAAUUUAGUUGUUCAUAUGAAUUAGGCGAGACAAUAUGAACUGGGGUUGUGUAGCUUGUCUGUGAGCGAUAGCAACCCGAGAUCUCAAUCAUAGACUGUGCUCGGAGAAGUCUAUAUGGCAACACUCUUGGACAGGGGUUCGACUCCCCUCAUCUCCACCA
rnacentral:tmRNA from 1 species